rnacentral:rRNA from 1 species
AGAGUUUGAUCCUGGCUCAGAUUGAACGCUGGCGGCAUGCCUUACACAUGCAAGUCGAACGGCAGCACGGGAGCAAUCCUGGUGGCGAGUGGCGAACGGGUGAGUAAUAUAUCGGAACGUGCCCAGUAGUGGGGGAUAGCCCGGCGAAAGCCGGAUUAAUACCGCAUACGACCUGUGGGUGAAAGCGGGGGAUCGCAAGACCUCGCGCUAUUGGAGCGGCCGAUAUCAGAUUAGCUUGUUGGUGGGGUAAAAGCCCACCAAGGCGACGAUCUGUAGCUGGUCUGAGAGGACGACCAGCCACACUGGGACUGAGACACGGCCCAGACUCCUACGGGAGGCAGCAGUGGGGAAUUUUGGACAAUGGGCGCAAGCCUGGUCCAGCCAUGCCGCGUGUGGGAAGAAGGCCUUCGGGUUGUAAACC